rnacentral:rRNA from 1 species
AGAGUUUGAUUAUGGCUCAGGAUGAACGCUAGCGGCAGGCCUAAUACAUGCAAGUCGAGGGGCAGCGGGGUAGCAAUACUGCCGGCGACCGGCGCACGGGUGCGUAACACGUAUGCAACCUACCUUAAACUGGGAGAUAGCCCGGGGAAACUCGGAUUAAUACCCCAUAACACGGCGAUACCUCAUGGUGAUGUCGUUAAAGAUUUAUCGGUUUAAGAUGGGCAUGCGUUCGAUUAGCUAGUUGGUAAGGUAAUGGCUUACCAAGGCUACGAUCGAUAGGGGGUCUGAGAGGAUGAUCCCCCACACUGGUACUGAGAUACGGACCAGACUCCUACGGGAGGCAGCAGUAGGGAAUAUUGGUCAAUGGAGGCAACUCUGAACCAGCCAUGCCGCGUGUAGGAAGAAGGCGUUCUGCGUUGUAAACUACUUUUGAUUGGGAACAAAUGACUCUUGCGAGAGUAGCUGAGUGUACCAAUAGAAUAAGCCACGGCUAACUACGUGCCAGCCGCCGCGGUAA